UAAAUAAAGAAUCUUUAUUUACAUUUGAAGUAAACCAUCAUAAAUCGGAAAACAUGCAUCAUGAAAAUGGACAAAGUGAAACAAAUCUGCAAAAGAAGAAUCUGAUCUUCCACAGCAAGAUGAAAAAAUAAUAAUUCAGGAGAAGAUACAAAAUCUUCAAGUACACACUCGAGGAAAAGUAGUAGAAAAGACCAAAAUAUUGCACAGAAUCAGUCUAACCACUACAUUCAUGUGGCAAAAAAAUCACUUAAAUGCAAAAAUAAUGCUACGAUAGAUUCAAACUAUCUUUAAUUCAGAACAGCUGUGCUGUAGGUAUGUCUCUGCGUGGCAAACUGUGCUUUUCUCUGAAAAAGAAAUGACAACAUAUGACAGAAAAUAGGCAAAGAUGUGUGAUUCUACAAAACCAACUACUCGCAUGAUUCAAUCAAUUGUCCAUUCGUAGUUUUUCUAAGACUUGUGAUUAAAUAAGAAAAAGAAAAACAACAGAAGAAAAAAAACGUAUGUAAAAUAAUAAUGAUACACAAGGCCAUGGAGGAAUAUUAACGACAUAUUGCUCUUUGAUGUGAGAGGCACAUUUUGCUUCCUGCUAAAGUAAUCCAGCUUGGUUCAGUAGUUAACAAACAGGCUGGAGUUUAUACCUUUGCAUUUUAAUGUACUCAUUACCCAGCCAUUUAGGAAAACUUCUGUAUAUUUACAAACGAAGCAGAACUUUCUGCUCCAAUGCUGUAUUUUCAGAAGUAAAAUGGCUCGCCAACAUGAAACAUAAAUAACAAGAAAUAUAUAAUAUAAUAUAUAAGUAAAGAGGAUGCAUGAAGAGAAUCUCAGAACUUUUCCCCCUCUAAUAAAGACUAAACAAACCGUCUUUGGUCAUUCAACUUCAUGUCCUUGAAAUAUUCACUAAGACCCUGCUUAAAAAAAAAAAAAAAUCAACAAAAAAACAACAACAACAAACAACAACAACAUUCUAAACCCAAGCCAUCAACUGGCUGGCAUGAAGUAAUGAAAACGGGUACAGUGAAAAAUAAAUAUGGUGUAAUUUCUGCUUGGUUUGAUGGGUUGAGUGAAUGAGUAUUUGUAUUUCCGGAGGGGGGGAAAAGCAGUAAAUCUUUCACAUUAGAUAUAAAAGGCAUGAAUACAGAAAGGACCGUUUGCUAAGUGAGCCCGGAUACUCCUGUAACUAGAAGCACAAUUCUUCUUGUCUUCUCUUCAGAUCCCCCAUCAAACUCUUCACCAGUCUCUGUCUCUUGUCUGGUUUUUAUCCUUUUCUCAGUGGUAAGUGACCGGUAAUGGGAGCAGCAGCAGCGCCUUUAGACUCAGAAGGAGGCCGUUCGUUUGUGCGUUCACUGCAUUUUUGACAUCUCAUAUUUUGUAGUCAUGAUUUCCUGCAAAGUGACCCACAUUGAAAAGCACGGUCAUUUCCUGUAUUUUUUUUAAAAAGAUUUUCAGUUGAAAAGAAAUAUUUUGUAGGGUCGGUUGAACAAACCUCAUCUGAGUCGAGAAGAACAGGCAGAGCACUGAAACAUAUAUAGUCAUGUAAGUUAGAGGAGCUCUGAACACAUUCUUCCUAGAGUGCAUGAGAGCAUGAGGGCAAAGUAACUAUUUUAACAGGAUAUACAGUACUGUGUAGAAGUUUUAGGCACAUGCAAAGAAAUUCUGUAGAGAUGCAAAGAUGUCUUCAAUAUAAUGAAAUUAAAUGUUCCUACAUUAAAGAAAAUAGCAGUAAACAGUAGUAAAUGAAACAAAGUCAAUAUUUGGUG
ensembl:lncRNA